GUGUUGUAUGAAAGGAGAGAAGGUUAGCACUCCCCUUGACAAGAAUGGAAGAGGCUUCGGCCUGCAACAUGCAUAUGGUUAAGGUACUGCCACCUACUUCAUGGCAUCUAACCAACGUUUUGG
rnacentral:ncRNA from 1 species